AGAGUUUGAUCAUGGUUCAGGACGAACGCUGGCGGCGUGCCUAACACAUGCAAGUCGAACGAAGUAUGUUUUUCGGAAUGUAUUUAGUGGCGGACGGGUGAGUAACGCGUGAAUAAUCUGCCCUGUACAAAGGAAUAGCCUCGGGAAACUGGGAUUAAAACCGUAUAACACUUUUGAGCCGCAUGGCUUAGAAGUCAAAUUGAUUAAGAGGUAUGGGAUGAGUUCGCGUCUGAUUAGCUAGUUGGUAAGGUAAAGGCUUACCAAGGCGACGAUCAGUAGCCGGCCUGAGAGGGUGAUCGGCCACACUGGAACUGAGACACGGUCCAGACUCCUACGGGAGGCAGCAGUGGGGAAUAUUGCACAAUGGAGGAAACUCUGAUGCAGCGACGCCGCGUGAGUGAAGAAGGUCUUCGGAUCGUAAAACUCUGUCCUUGGUGAAGAAAGAAAUGACGGUAGCCAAGGAGGAAGCCCCGGCUAACUACGUGCCAGCAGCCGCGGUAAUACGUAGGGGGCGAGCGUUGUCCGGAUUUACUGGGCGUAAAGGGUGAGUAGGCGGUAAUAUGUGUCAGGUGUAAAAGGCUAUGGCUUAACCAUAGUUAGCAUUUGAAACUGUAUUACUUGAGUGCAGGAGAGGUAAGUGGAAUUCCUAGUGUAGCGGUGAAAUGCGUAGAUAUUAGGAGGAACACCAGUGGCGAAGGCGACUUACUGGCUGUAACUGACGCUGAGUCACGAAAGCGUGGGUAGCAAACAGGAUUAGAUACC
rnacentral:rRNA from 1 species